UCUUAAAUAAAAGUUGAGGUGAAUGCCGGCUCGAGAAGUCUUUUGUUUUGUCACAAAUAUGAAAAAUGGAUAAUUGUUGGAAAGACGAAAUCCGAGUCAGACUGCAGAAACGAGACGCGAAACAGAUAGAUAUCAGCCGCCUGGUGCAGAACUACAGUAAGCUGCAGUUCUGAGGAUGAUGAAGAGUCUGUGUUGAUGAAGUGGGUGGAAUUUUGGAAGAGCCAAUCAGACUGCAGCUGGAGCUGAGGGAAAGCAGGCUGGCUCGAGAACAGCUCAGUGCUGCCCCCUGUCUGUGUGAAGGAAGCACAGCACCCUGGAAUUAGAGCAGCCUCGCUGUGAGUAGGCUGGUCCCCGCGCUUCAUGGCAUGCGUUAUGCUGAGGGAAGGCUGCAUUGUAAAAAAAUAAAUAAAUAAUAAAUACUAAUCAAUUCUUUUGCUUAAAUGUCAGGCAGAAGUGUUUUGUUCAUGCCAGUUCCCUGGAACAAAAUUCAAAACUCCACAAGCAAAUAAAACGUCAGAGACUCUCAUCAUUGGGCACUUUAUUUAUUUAUUUUUUUAGUUUUUUUAAACAUUUUCUAAAAUGCGGUACAAAAUGAAGAAGCAACAUCAAACAAAUUCUCGACUAAAAGAACGAUUCUCUCACACAGCCCUCCGUUACGGAACCCUGCCCGCCCGCCCGCCUGUCUGUCUGUGAUCCAGUAGCAGUAGUUUCUGGUCUGUCUGCCCGCCUGCCUGUCUGUCUGUCUGUCCUCCAGCCUGCCCUCCUGCCUGCCUGCCUGUGAUCCGGUAGCAGUAGUUUCUGGCAAGAAGAAGCUAUCAGCUCUGUCGUUCUUAACGAAUCAAUUAAAACCGCUCAUAUUGAAAGCGUUAAUUUAUCCCCCCCCCCCUGCUCUGGAGAAGUGUAUUCUAUCCAGCAGUGUGAUCAAUUGCCUUUCUUUCAAUUCUUAAAUGACACUCCAUCAAAUCUGCAAACUAAAAUCUGGGAUUUAAAGAAAAUAAAAAGCGGUUUGGGGAGCAAGAGAGAUUAUAGUUUAUUUUUAAUGUGGUGUGCUUCAAAAUUGCAAAACGUUCAGAUGUUCCAUCUGGAACGUGACAACCAGCGCCCCCCGGAGGACAAAAAAACAGCAGCAAACCGAUAAAAACAUAGAAAAGACAUUCCUUUCUAAAUAGAGCAGACAAUACCAAGGUUAGCCUCGACCCUUUAUAACAAACAAGAACAACAACGCUAUUAGAAUAAUAAUAAUAAUAAUAAUAAUAAUAAUAAUAAUAAUAAUAAUAAUAAUAAUAGUACAUGAUCUGAGCUCCUGUCUCCAUGUGAUUUUCUUGUUCUGUAGAAAGUUUACCCCCUGAUUGUGUGGCAGGUUUUGUAUUAUAAUUACAGUAAUAAUAUU